CAUUCCAUCGCUCGCAGCUUCCCGCCAAUGUGAAGUUCCAUGAGCGCUCGUGCUGUCGUUUAAAUGUCAAUCAUUCUGUCGUUAGUUCCUAACCGCCUGCCGCUAUGACGUCAGAUGAGUGCUAUCCGCGCUACCUGUCAAUCAUUCCUUCAAGGCGAGCGUAAGAUGCGUGUGAAACCGUUACUGUCCGCCCGCGAUGCUAGACACCGACGCAGCGUCAGUGGAGGAUAAUAACAUUCUGUGUGCUUGAACGGGUUAGUAAACAAACGAGAAGUAUGGAUAAACGCGACAAGAAAGCGAAAAAGGACUCAACAAAUCGCACAGGGAAGCUGUUCCGGAGGAAAUCGUUUAAACCUGUGGAAAGUUUGGUGAGGAAGAUCUUGAAAAGUUUCGGGAGCUUGGCUAGCGGCGGAGAAACAACCGAGCGCUCGGACGCUGAGGAGGAUGACGGUGGGUUUGGAGAAAGCGCACCUUGCGCUGGAAACUCGGGACAUGUGAAACAAGAGGACAGCAGCCAGGUGAAGAAAAGUUCCUCGCUUCCCUGCCGUUCCUCCACGAAAGAACGACUGUUCUCGCUGUACGGGGAUAAAACGCCAGGCGUGCUGGGUCUGAAGAACCACGGGAACACCUGCUUCAUGAACGCCGUCGUGCAGUGCUUGAGCAACACGGACCUGCUCGCUGAAUACCUGUGUCUGGAGCGAUAUAAACUGGACCUGUGUCACAGGGCAAUGAACGGAUUCAUAAAGAACGAGAACGAUCCGAAGGAGAAAGGAGAGAUCACGGAACGGCUCGCGUCUUUGGUCCGAGCGCUCUGGACUUUUCAAUACACUCCUCAACUCUCGGCUGAGUUUAAGAUGAUGGUAUCUAAAUAUGGUGCACAGUUCCGGGGGAAUUCCCAGCAUGAUGCUCUUGAAUUCCUGCUCUGGCUUCUGGACUGCCUCCAUGAGGACGUCAACUCAUCUUCAGCCCUCCCCAGUGGGAAUAACAGAAGCAAAUCAAGUGGCAAGGGUCAAGAAGGAGGUGAUGGAAAGCUCGUCUCUGAUACCCGGACCCCACCACAGACUCAGCCUGGUGUACGUCACAGCUUUGUACAAGAGCACUUCCAGGCACAAUAUAAGUCAUCUCUGACAUGCCCACAUUGUCUUAAGCAGAGCAACACGUUUGAUCCUUUUCUGUGCAUUUCCCUCCCCAUACCUCUAAGACAGACGAAACCAGUGUGUGUGACUUUGGUGUUUAGCAGUAAAGGACAGCGGUAUCUGAGAGUUGGGCUCGCUGUGCCUCUCUUUGGCUCUUUGACAUGUCUGCGCCGGAUGGUGGCAGAUGAGGGCAAGAUCUCUCCUGAUCAGGUAAUACUGACAGAGAUCUACACAACAGGAUUCCAGCGCUCGUUCUUUGAUGAAGAUGAUUUGACCAUCAUUGCAGAGAGUGACAUCAUCUAUGCCUUCCAAGCUCCACCCCUUUACAUUAGGGGUGGAUCUGCACGAAUCUCAGGGUUCCAUCACAGUCUUCCGUCCUCUCCGUACACCUCGUUUGGGCCAGAGGGUCACAGACUGGCAGCGUCUGGAGCGCUGUCCUCAGAGUUCCUGAACCAGGCCGAUGGGAUGGUGAAGAUCUUGCUGUUGGUGUGUAAUGCAGCCGGAGCAGGACAGCAGGCAGUGAGGUUCGGUCCUCCAUUUCUGAUGAGAGAGGACAGGUCAGUGUCGUGGGACCAGCUACAGCAGAGCAUCCUCAGCAAACUCUACUAUCUAAUGAUCAAUGGAUCACAGGCACAUAAUAUCAGGGUGUUGUUCAAGAUUCGUGUUGUUGGGGGAUCUGCAGCUUAUAGCUACUUAAAUCCCCAAGACGGGCGGCCGCUUUAUCACCCUGCAGUGGACAGAGCUCUAAAGCUGUGUGGCUCAGGUGGGCCGCCGCAUGUGAAGAUCAUUGUUGAGUGGGAGCACAGAAUCAAAGACUGCCUGUUCGGUAACAUCCAAGAGGAGGUGGUGAAGGACUCGGAAAGUGUUCGUGCUCAACAACAACACCACGUUCAACAGCACAGCUGCACCCUGGAUGAGUGCUUUGAGCUCUACACUAAAGAAGAACAACUGGCCCCUGACGAUGCAUGGAAGUGUCCUCACUGUAAGCAGCUGCAGCAGGGCAUGGUGCAGAUGAGCUUGUGGACCCUCCCAGACAUCCUCAUUCUUCACCUCAAACGCUUCCGGCAGGUGGGAGAGCACCGAAACAAGCUCUCCACGCUGGUACAAUUCCCCCUCACUGGCCUCGAUAUGGGCCGCCACAUGGUCAAGAGGAGCAACUGUGCCCGACCACCGCCCGGCUGGAAACAACAGGCCCGUCACCGGCCUGAAGCCAGCAGACAGACGCUGAACUUCCUGUACGACCUGUACGCUGUGUGUAACCAUCAUGGAGGCAUGCAUGGAGGACAUUACACAGCGUACUGCAGGAACUCGGUGGAUGGUCAGUGGUAUGCCUACGAUGACAGCAGUGUUGAGCCGGUGCCUGAGGGGGAAGUGUGCACACGUGGAGCUUAUAUCCUCUUCUAUCAGAGACGAGAUGCCAUCCCAUCCUGGUCAGCUAGCUGCUCUCUACAAGGUUCCUCUAGCUCCUUUACAUCAGACCACUGGCUCAUGCAACUGAACGCAGACAAACAAAUUUCAAAUUCAAGAAGCAAGCUGCCCAACUCAUCUUCAGCUCCUGAGCCCCAGACACCACACAUUCCUAUCAUCCAUGAGCCUCAAACUAAAGAUAGAGAUGUAGUUGAGCUGACACCAUUUGUACGAAGCAUCCACAGUAUGAGUAUGCGCUACCACUCCAAAUCCAAGACGGGCCCAGGCAAAGUUCUUCCACUGCGCUGGUCAUUUGCUUCUAAGGACCGCAGAAAGCCCUCCAGCAUCGCUCCACAAAUCGGAAAUGAUGAGCUGGUGGAGUACCUUGAGUCCGGCCGGCGGCCUCGAUGUACCAAGGAGCCCAUAGUAAGUUUCGUGGCUAGUCCUUCACUGGUCAAAGCCCAGCUUUGCAAGGACGAUUCUUUGAGUUCCCCUAGCUGUGGCAGCAGUGUGGAGCAAAGUAGUUAUCAAGGUCCGGAUUUACCCAGACUGCCGGAAGGCCAGAGCAGACCAGCAGUGGACCUUAACGACAUCACGUCCAAUGGCUCAAUGGCCAAAAACAGUUCAAAAAGCAGACAGGAGCAUGAAAGAACUCAGGCCAAUAAGUCGCUUCAAAGUUCCCCUACUGUGCUUUCCAAUGGAACUAGCAACAGUGCAUCUCAUGCAAGAGACUCCACGUUAAAACAGCUACGAAACAAGGUGGCUUCGACAAGCAGGACUCAUCCCAGUCAGACUCAGAUGGCCACGGGGGAAAGCAGGAGUAAAGAUGGCACCCCCAGACUGCAGGAUAAGGAGGUGGGUCAUGGGAAAACGCUUUCCAGCAAGAGCUUGGCCAAACUGUCUCUAUCUAAUGGGACUCUAAAUGGAAAGGGUACUGAGGUGAGGAAGACUGGCACCGCUCACAAGUGCACCAGUAAAGUGGUUAAUGGCAGAGAAAACCAGAUUUGUCUGAGCACAGCUGAUAUAAAACGCGCCCACAGCUCAUCCAAUAUUCAGAGCAGGCUAGAUAUGACUUUGAAAAGGACACUGUCUCUCCAAAGAAACGGUCCCUUGGUGCCGGCCCCCCAUAAAGGACCAGCUGUAGAUAAAUCCUCCUAUGCAACACUACAGAGAAUCAGAUACAGCAGCACUUCACUUGGCAGACAAAGACCUGUGCCCGAGUCCUGCUUCUGAUGGGUUUCACCUUCACUGUGGGAAAUAGUGUUUGUAAAUAUGUUUUAUGUACGACAGCAUUUAAAUACUGCAUACUAUUACUCUUUUGCAAAACUUAUUGAGAACUGAAAAGCAUUUAAUGCACGUUUCCAAAGCCUAGUCAAAAGGCUUAAAAUGCCACGUUUUCACCACGUAUUCAAGGCAGCAGGCAGACUUUAAAGAGAUUGCAGUCCAAUAAUGCAUUGGAACAAAUUCAGUGAACAAAUCCAAAACAGGCGUAAGAGUCUUCAUUUUCUCCCCACAUAAAAACCACAGAGGACCAAAUGGAUUAGUUUUGUUUUUUUUUGGUAUAGUGCCACUGAAUACACAUAAAAAGGAAGAAAGGGGUGAGCUGUAGCCCAUUAUCAUUUAGAGACAUGCACCGAAGCGGCUCGCUGUGAACAGAGCUGUUUUUAACAAGGUAAGGAAUUCAUUAAGGAACUUUAACCAAAGUAUGUUGCAAAUGUUUCAUGAACACCCUAAAGAAUUAUACCAACCUGUGGAAAAUGGGUUUCUAAUGUCCCCUUUAACUAGCCUAUAUGCACCUUUGACCCUGUAGACUUUUAGAAAAUAACUCUUAAUUAGUCCAUUUACUGUGUCUCACCAGACUGUCAUUUCAAGCAAAUUAUAUAUGAAAUAAAUCUACAGAACGUACUCGGUUACGAACGUAACCUCGGUUCCUUGAGAUACGGAACAAGUACUGCAUAUGGGGGGAAAAGCUCCUUUUUUCCUCGAUACUGAAGCCUUUUUUCAAUAACGCAGUGCAACUGCACUGCCAUUGGUUUAAUCUGUAAACUUUUUUAAACCAAUGAUGGCGCUGCCAGCUGCGCGAGCCUGUGGCGAUGCAGCGCACCAAAGCCCGCCAAAAUGGGCAGGGCGAAUGGCUAUAUAAGCAGGGAAAUCGCCAGAGGAAAUCAGGUCAUACGACUGAAGCGACGACACUGAAGCUGCAGCCUCGUGGCAUGGCAUAUAAUGCAGUACUCGUUCCAUAUCUCAGGGUA